AUGCCUGUAGAUAAAGACUGCUCAGAAGAGCAUCCUCUGGUGUUGCCACAGAGGCAAGUGCUACCACACAGGCAUGCUGCAGUGAAUUUAACUCAUCCUGUGUCCCUGCAACCGUUGUUUAAGGAUGCUAUUCUGAAAAGACUGUGGAGGAAGAAAACCCUUUACUCUGUUGUUCAGGGAGAAACUGACACCACUCAACUGCCUGACACUGAAAAUGUGGCAUCCGGUCCACUUUACCACCAGUGUUUAAGGAAACCAUCUCUGAUAAGGAUGAUUGAGGAAGACUACUCUUUGGCUUGUUGA
rnacentral:lncRNA from 1 species